AAAAAGGUUUUUCUAAAAACCCCGUAAUUAUUUAUUGGCAUGAAGU
rfam:Marchantia polymorpha subsp. polymorpha scaffold4031, whole genome shotgun sequence.